CCCUUAGAUGUUCUGGGCUGCACACGUGCUACACUGGCAGGUUCAGCGAGCUUCAUGCCCUGAGCUGAAAGGAAUGGGAAAUCUUUUCAAAACCUGCCGUGCUUGGGAUAGAUGUUUGCAAUUAUUCAUCUUCAACGAGGAUUGCCUUGUAAGCGCACGUCAUCAGCGUGCAUUGAAUACGACCCUGUAUUCUGUACACACCGCCCGUCGCUCCUACCGAUUGAAGUUUUCGGUGAGUUGACAGGAGGAUUUUUUUGAAACUGGUUCGCCAGUGGAUUUUAGAUCCAAAUGCCAACGAAUCGAUGGCUUUAGAGGAAGGAGAAGUCGUAACA
rnacentral:rRNA from 1 species